rnacentral:rRNA from 1 species
GCUAUACAUGCAGUCGAGCGGACCGAACGGAAGCUUGCUUCUGUUCGGUUAGCGGCGGACGGGUGAGUAACACGUGGGUAACCUGCCCGUAAGACCGGGAUAACUCCGGGAAACCGGGGCUAAUACCGGAUAACACCGAAGACCGCAUGGUCUUCGGUUGAAAGGUGGCUUUUGCUACCACUUACGGAUGGGCCCGCGGCGCAUUAGCUAGUUGGUGAGGUAACGGCUCACCAAGGCGACGAUGCGUAGCCGGCCUGAGAGGGUGACCGGCCACACUGGGACUGAGACACGGCCCAGACUCCUACGGGAGGCAGCAGUAGGGAAUCUUCCGCAAUGGACGAAAGUCUGACGGAGCGACGCCGCGUGAGCGAAGAAGGUCUUCGGAUCGUAAAGCUCUGUUGUUAGGGAAGAAGAAGUACCGUUCGAAUAGGGCGGUACGGUGACGGUACCUAACGAGAAAGCCCCGGCUAACUACGUGCCAGCAGCCGCGGUAAUACGUAGGGGGCGAGCGUUGUCCGGAAUUAUUGGGCGUAAAGCGCGCGCAGGCGGUCCCUUAAGUCUGAUGUGAAAGCCCACGGCUCAACCGUGGAGGGUCAUUGGAAACUGGGGGACUUGAGUGCAGAAGAGGAGAGCGGAAUUCCACGUGUAGCGGUGAAAUGCGUAGAGAUGUGGAGGAACACCAGUGGCGAAGGCGGCUCUCUGGUCUGUAACUGACGCUGAGGCGCGAAAGCGUGGGGAGCAACAGGAUUAGAUACCCUGGUAGUCCACGCCGUAACGAUGAGUGCUAAGUGUUAGAGGGGUUNNNCCUUUAGUGCUGUAGCUAACGCGUUAAGCACUCCG